rnacentral:snoRNA from 1 species
GAUCAGUGAUGUAAAUAGCCAAAUCUGAGCCUCAGAAGAGCUCCCAGUCUGCCUGAUGCAUGAUCUCUGUAGUUCUGAGA